GUGGACCGGUGCUCUACAUUCUGGUAAAAACCACAGGUAAAUGAGCUUAGGCAAAGUAUGUGGUGAAAAGGCCAGAAGGGGGAGGGGCUGCUGAAACCACCAGGUCAUACUCAGGUAGACUGAUCUCAGGUGAUAUUCAUGCUCAGGUGAGACUGAUCUCAGGUGAGACUGAUCUCAGGUGAUAUUCAUGCUCAGAUGAGACUGAUCUCAGGUGAUAUUCAUGCUCAGGUGAGACUGAUCUCAGGUGAUAUUCAUGCUCAGGAAAUAUUAACGCUCAGGUGGUAUUAAUGCUCAGGUGAGACUGAUCCCCAGGCGACUCAGGUAAUAUCAAAGCUCAGGUGACUGUGGGAAACUCACAGGUUUGAUCUGAGCUCUGUCCAGCUUCCUCCUGUACAGCAUGGCGGCGUGGAUGGAGU